GAAAGCAAGGAUUUGAGUGGUCAGAAAAGCUAUGAUGCUAACCAAUAAACUAAAACAUUUUUACCUUAGGUUGAGUGUUUAUCUCAAGGCAUCCUGAUCCCGAGCUGUGAAUUUCCAACAUGCACUCUCAGAGAGGCUAUCAUCAUUGGCAGCAUAUUCACAAAGUGCUCAAUCCCUGUAGUGCAUUCCGGUACUGCCAUGCUCAAACUGGCAGCGAUUGAGUACAAUGGAUCAUCUUCCUGCGACUCUUACUGGACAAGAAAUACGACCUGCCCUUCCGUGUUCUGGAUGCCCUGUUCGGCCACUUCCUGUUCUUCCGCAGUGGCACCAAAGUCUGCUCACCAUGGCGCAGCACUACAAGGCCGACCAGGCCUCAGAACAUUAGGAUGCUCUGCUGGAGCUGCUUAAAUUGCAGACACACCCCAGAUUUCUGCAGAGAUCCGUCGGGAGCUGCAGAACUCGGUCCCGUGAUCUGGAAUCCGCCAUGCCUGUCAGUGGCCUUGGACUGACUGUUACUGUAAAAAUAAACAUUUCGACAUGUUUUUUUAAAAAUAAAUUGUUUGGCUUUUUAAAAA